rnacentral:rRNA from 1 species
UGAACGCUAGCGACAGGCCUAACACAUGCAAGUCGAGGGGCAGCACAAGGAGCAAUCUGAGGUGGCGACCGGCGCACGGGUGAGUAACACGUAUGCAACCUGCCUGUAAGCAGGGAAUAACCCGUUGAAAGACGGACUAAUACCGCAUAAUACUAAAUUACUGCAUGGUAAUUUAUUUAAACAUUUAUGGCUUACAGAUGGGCAUGCGCAUGAUUAGCUAGUUGGAGAGGUAACGGCUCCCCAAGGCAACGAUCAUUAGGGGUUCUGAGAGGAAGGUCCCCCACACUGGUACUGAGACACGGACCAGACUCCUACGGGAGGCAGCAGUGAGGAAUAUUGGUCAAUGGACGAGAGUCUGAACCAGCCAAGUCGCGUGCAGGAAGAAUGUUCCCUAUGGAUUGUAAACUGCUUUUGCAGGGGAAUAAAGUGCAUCACGUGUGAUGUUUUGUAUGUACUCUGCGAAUAAGGAUCGGCUAACUCCGUGCCAGCCGCGGC